rnacentral:tRNA from 1 species
GCGGGUAUAGUACAGUGGCAGUACGGUUGCUUCCCAAGCAACAGACACGGGUUCGAUUCCCGUUACCCGCUCCA